rnacentral:rRNA from 1 species
GAAGGGAGCUUGCUCCCGGAUGUUAGCGGCGGACGGGUGAGUAACACGUGGGUAACCUGCCUGUAAGACUGGGAUAACUCCGGGAAACCGGAGCUAAUACCGGAUAGUUCCUUGAACCGCAUGGUUCAAGGAUGAAAGACGGUUUCGGCUGUCACUUACAGAUGGACCCGCGGCGCAUUAGCUAGUUGGUGAGGUAACGGCUCACCAAGGCGACGAUGCGUAGCCGACCUGAGAGGGUGAUCGGCCACACUGGGACUGAGACACGGCCCAGACUCCUACGGGAGGCAGCAGUAGGGAAUCUUCCGCAAUGGACGAAAGUCUGACGGAGCAACGCCGCGUGAGUGAUGAAGGUUUUCGGAUCGUAAAGCUCUGUUGUUAGGGAAGAACAAGUGCAAGAGUAACUGCUUGCACCUUGACGGUACCUAACCAGAAAGCCACGGCUAACUACGUGCCAGCAGCCGCGGUAAUACGUAGGUGGCAAGCGUUGUCCGGAAUUAUUGGGCGUAAAGGGCUCGCAGGCGGUUUCUUAAGUCUGAUGUGAAAGCCCCCGGCUCAACCGGGGAGGGUCAUUGGAAACUGGGAAACUUGAGUGCAGAAGAGGAGAGUGGAAUUCCACGUGUAGCGGUGAAAUGCGUAGAGAUGUGGAGGAACACCAGUGGCGAAGGCGACUCUCUGGUCUGUAACUGACGCUGAGGAGCGAAAGCGUGGGGAGCGAACAGGAUUAGAUACCCUGGUAGUCCACGCCGUAAACGAUGAGUGCUAAGUGUUAGGGGGUUUCCGCCCCUUAGUGCUGCAGCUAACGCAUUAAGCACUCCGCCUGGGGAGUACGGUCGCAAGACUGAAACUCAAAGGAAUUGACGGGGGCCCGCACAAGCGGUGGAGCAUGUGGUUUAAUUCGAAGCAACGCGAAGAACCUUACCAGGUCUUGACAUCCUCUGACAACCCUAGAGAUAGGGCUUUCCCUUCGGGGACAGAGUGACAGGUGGUGCAUGGUUGUCGUCAGCUCGUGUCGUGAGAUGUUGGGUUAAGUCCCGCAACGAGCGCAACCCUUGAUCUUAGUUGCCAGCAUUCAGUUGGGCACUCUAAGGUGACUGCCGGUGACAAACCGGAGGAAGGUGGGGAUGACGUCAAAUCAUCAUGCCCCUUAUGACCUGGGCUACACACGUGCUACAAUGGACAGAACAAAGGGCUGCGAGACC